AUAAUGACAACAAUAGAAUCCUCCUGUAUCCUCUUGGAGUUCUUUUUGCUUAUCCUCAUCUUAUGUAAUCAUGUGUACAUAGCUGUUGAGCUAUUGUGAUCCUCUGAUAAGUCUAUCCUAGACUUUUUUAGGUUUAUUUAAUAAUUAUUUGGUUUUAGUUACAUAAUGUUGGGUCGCUGACCCAA